rnacentral:rRNA from 1 species
GAGUGGACGCUGGCGGUAGGCCUAACACAUGCACGUCGAACGGCAGCACAGUAAGAGCUUGCUCUUACGGGUGGCGAGUGGCGGACGGGUGAGGAAUACAUCGGAAUCUACUUUUUCGUGGGGGAUAACGUAGGGAAACUUACGCUAAUACCGCAUACGACCUACGGGUGAAAGCAGGGGAUCUUCGGACCUUGCGCGAUUGAAUGAGCCGAUGUCGGAUUAGCUAGUUGGCGGGGUAAAGGCCCACCAAGGCGACGAUCCGUAGCUGGUCUGAGAGGAUGAUCAGCCACACUGGAACUGAGACACGGUCCAGACUCCUACGGGAGGCAGCAGUGGGGAAUAUUGGACAAUGGGCGCAAGCCUGAUCCAGCCAUACCGCGUGGGUGAAGAAGGCCUUCGGGUUGUAAAGCCCUUUUGUUGGGAAAGAAAAGCAGCAGGUUAAUACCCCGCUGUUCUGACGGUACCCAAAGAAUAAGCACCGGCUAACUUCGUG